CACGUAGGGGCCAAGCGUUGUCCGGAUUUAUUGGGCGUAAAGAGCUCGUAGGCGGUUCGACAAGUCGGGUGUGAAAACUCCGGGCUCAACCCGGAGACGCCACCCGAUACUGUCGUGACUGGAGUCCGGUAGGGGAGUGGGGAAUUCCUGGUGUAGCGGUGAAAUGCGCAGAUAUCAGGAGGAACACCGGUGGCGAAGGCGGGUCUCUGGGCCGA
rnacentral:rRNA from 1 species